rnacentral:rRNA from 1 species
UGGGUUUGACAUCCUCGGACCGCCAUAGAGAUAUGGUUUUCCCUUCGGGGACCGAGUGACAGGUGCUGCAUGGCUGUCGUCAGCUCGUGUCGUGAGAUGUUGGGUUAAGUCCCGCAACGAGCGCAACCCUUGUCCUUAGUUGCCAGCACGUAAUGGUGGGAACUCUAAGGAGACUGCCGGUGUUAAGCCGGAGGAAGGUGGGGAUGACGUCAAGUCCUCAUGGCCUUUAUAUCCAGGGCUACACACGUGCUACAAUGGUGACUACAAAGAGCAGCAAGGCCGCGAGGUUAAGCGAAUCUCAAAAAAGUCAUCUCAGUUCGGAUCGCAGUCUGCAACUCGGCUGCGUGAAGU